CCAUUGAGGAAGAAGAAUAAGAAGACUCCAUCUCCUGCGAGGCUCGCCUCCGCCUUUACAAGGCCAUCCCGUUCCCUUCAAGAUUCUAUCACGACCACCGACCCUGUUUUCUGCCUCUUUCUUUCUCUUCUUCCCUCUUGACCUUGCCGGUUUCAUCUAUUGUGAUCACCGGAAAUCGACGUUGGAGAGCACCGCCGGAGUCAAGAGUUUCUUACCCCAGCAGUUAUCUUUGAAUCAAGAAAAUUUAAAGGCCAUCUACUGAUUUCAUCUUCUCCAACGGCUGGUGGAGGUGGCUUCCAGAGAACAAAGUAUGGAAUAAGAGCAUAUGCACCGCCAAAGAAUGAAACCACUAGGAAUGGCCAGACGGGUAUCUUGCUUGUUGAACUGCAUCACCAGUUUGAACACAUCAAAUUUAUUUAAUAUGGAGGAAAGCUGAGGAAUCUGAAGAUUAAGGUGUAUGAUUUUCACUGGUUCAACUGCUGAUUGAAAAAUAAUGAUGGACAAAACUGAAUAAAGACAUAGUCCCAGCUUCAAUUCUUUAAAGGUAGUUGGGCUUUGCACUGUAUCAUGAUGAACCCUUGAUAGCUAACCAGCUAUCUAUUUUUAGCACUUGUAAAAAAGAAGAAUCACCAUAAUAAGGCCAUGCCCUUAAAUGAUGAAUAUUGAUUA